rnacentral:rRNA from 1 species
AGUCGAGCGGUAGCACAGGGAGCUUGCUCCUGGGUGACGAGCGGCGGACCGCCCUUAUAAAGGUGGGAAACUGCCUGAUGGAGGGGGAUAACUACCCCUUUCAGAAGCUAAUACCGCAUAACGCCGCAAGACCAAACAGGGGGACCUUCGGGCCUCUUGCCAUCAGAUGUGCCCAGAUGGGAUUAGCUAGUAGGUGGGGGAACGGCUCACCUAUGCGACCAUCCCUAGCUGGUCUGAGAGGAUGACCAGCCACACUGGAACUGAGAGAAAGACCAAACUCCUACGGGAGGCAGCAGUGGGGAAUAUUGUUCAUUUGGCGCAAGCCUGAUGCAGCCAUGCCGCGCGUAUGAAGAAGGUCUUCCUAUUGUAAAGUUCUUUCUCCGGGUUCGACCGCCUUAUGGUUAAUCCCCUUCUCUAUUUAAAUUACCCCCAUAAGAA